rnacentral:ncRNA from 2 species
GCACGGUCUCCGUACCGGCGACGCAUCUUUCAAAUGUCUGCCUUAUCAACUGUCGAUGGUAGGUUCCAUGCCUACCAUGGUGGUAACGGGUAACGGGGAAUCAGGGUUCGAUUCCGGAGAGGGAGCCUGAGAAACGGCUACCACAUCCAAGGAAGGCAGCAGGCGCGCAAAUUACCCACUCCCGGAACGGGGAGGUAGUGACGAAAAAUAACGAUACGGGACUCAUCCGAGGCCCCGUAAUCGGAAUGAGAACACUUUAAAACCUUUAAACGAGGAUCAAUUGGAGGGCAAGUCUGGUGCCAGCAGCCGCGGUAAUUCCAGCUCCAAUAGCGUAUAUUAAAGUUGUUGCGGUUAAAAAGCUCGUAGUCGGAUCUGUGUCUGGACGGUGCCGGACCACCCUGGCGGUCCGUCGUGUCGCGGCCGGCCGUGUCGCGGGACCACGUGUCCCGUCGGCGCGGUCGCCGUCGCGCUCGUCAGCCGUCUCGGGGUGUUAGUUACCGGCACGUCGGCCGGACGUAUUGUCGGCAGGCGGACACGUGUCUCGUGCUUCCGGCGCGCCGCGCGGCCACGCGUCGCGCGGCCGUCGGUGUUCGACGACGGCGGCCGCCUACUCCAAUCUUGCUGCGCGGUGCUCUUCACCGAGUGCCGUCGGCGGGCCGACACGUUUACUUUGAACAAAUUAGAGUGCUCAAAGCAGGCUCGAAUCUGGCGGGGCGGCUUCACGGCCGUCUCGUCAAAAGGCCCUGAAUACUGGUCGCAUGGAAUAAUGGAACAAGACCUCGGUCCCGCGCAUCUCCGCCCUUCGCGGGCGCGCGAAAUCGCCCUCCGGGGCGUUUCCGUGCGCGGGCCGCCGGGGCCGCGGGCGCCAGUCGCCCGCGCGUCCCGCCGGGCCGGGUUUUCGGGACCGGAGGUAAUGAUCAACAGAGACGGGCGGGGGCAUUCGUACCGAGACGUUAGAGGUGAAAUUCUUGGAUCGUCUCGAGACGAACUGACGCGAAAGCAUUUGCCAAGUACGUUCUCGUAUGAUCAAGAACGAAAGUUAGAGGUUCGAAGGCGAUCAGAUACCGCCCUAGUUCUAACUGUAAACGAUGCCAGCUAGCGAUCCGCCGGCGUUUCAUUAACGACCCGGGCGGGCAGCUUCCGGGAAACCGAAGCUUUUCGGUUCCGGGGGAAGUAUGAUUGCAAAGUUGAAACUUAAAGGAAUUGACGGAAGGGCACCCACCAGGAGUGGAGCCUGCGGCUUAAUUUGACUCAACACGGGAAACCUCACCAGGCCCGGACACCGGAAAGAUUGACAGAUUGAGAGCUCUUUCUUGAUCGGUGGGUGGUGGUGCCAUGGCCGUUCUUAGUUGGUGGAGCGAUCUGUCUGGUUAAUUCCGAUACGAACGAGACUCUGUCCUGCUA